rnacentral:lncRNA from 8 species
GUGGAUACUUUGGCAUCUGCACAAAGACUUGGACGUCAGAGACUAUCCAGGACCAUAACAGAUGACAUGAAGUCUCAGCAUCGUGUGGAAGUCCGGGACCAUCUGAACGGCUCUUGUAUCGUCUUCUCUGAUGAUGGUUCCUCCUCCAGCCAGCAGCAUCACCUGUCCCCUCCAGAUCUGACCCAGGAGGUGGUGGUCAUCUCCGCGGGGCUCCCCACCCCCCCUCUCAGCCCCUUCCGUUCCACAAGACUGCCACCUGUGGAGCAAAUUAAGGUCUCAGAGGUCAAUGGGAGUGGCCCUCUUACUGACCCCCUUCAUUUUGGAUCAUACUAUGGCCCUGCUCAAUCAAAUGGUAAGAUUAGAAUUGUCUUGAAAUUAUAAUAUAGAGCAUCACAGUUUGAGUUUGAUUUAAAUAUGUAACUUUUUGGGCAAACCGACCAAAUUCACAAAGAAAUGGUUUGUUAUAAAUCUGUCAUUCUCAUUGAAAGCAAGUCUAAGAAGCAGUAGAUUGGUUCUAUGUGCCCUUUUUCUAUGCUUCCAGUUCUUAACUUUCGUUUUUGAGUCGUUUACUUUCGGUUUUGUACACCAGCUUCAAACUGUUGAAAAUACAAUAUUUUUGUUUAUGGAAAAUAUACAGUACCAGUCAAAAGUUUGGACACACCUACUCAUUCAAGGGUUUUUCUUUAUUUUUUACUAUUUUCUACAUUGUAGAAUAACAGUGAAGACAUCAAAACUAUGAAAUAACACAUACAGAAUCGUGUAGUAAGUCAAAAAGUGUUAAACAAAUCAAAAUAUAUUUUAGAUUUAGAUUCUUCAAAGUAGCCACCCUUUGCCUUCAUGACAUCUUUGCACACUCUUGGCAUUCUCUCAACCAGCGUCAUGAGGAAUGCUUUUCCAACAGUCUUGAAGGAGUUCCCACAUAUGCUGAGCAGUUGUUGACUGCUUUUUCUUAACUCAGCAUUCCAACUCAUCCCAAACCAUCUCAAUUGGUUUGAGGCCGGGUGAUUGGGGAGGCCAAGUCAUCUGAUGCAGCACCAUCUCUCCUUCUUGGUCAAAUAGCCCUUACACAGCCAGGAGGUGUGUUUUGGGUCAUUGUCCCGUUGAAAAACAAAUGAUAGUCCCACUGUCACGCCCUGACCUGAGAGAGACGUUUUAUUUCUCUAUUUUGUUAGGUCAGGGUGUGGGGUGGGCAUUCUAUGUGUUAUAUUUCUAUGUUGUCUUUUUCUUUGAUUGGCCUAGUAUGGCUUCCAAUCAGAGGCAGCUGUCUAUUGUUGUCUCUGAUUGGGAAUCAUACUUAGGCAGCCUUUUUUCCCUCCUUCAGUGUGGGAUCUUGUUUUUGUACAGCUUAGUUAGCCUGCAGAACGUGACGUUCGUUUUCCGUUGUUUAUUGUUUUGAUUUAGUGUUCUGAGUUAAAAUAAAAAUUUGAACAUGAGCACUCACAACGCUGCACCUUGGUCUCCUCAUUACGACGAUCGUCACAAAAGAUCCCAUCACAAAAGGACCAAGCAGCGUGGUCAGGAGACAUGGACCUGGGAAGACAUCCUGGACGGCAAAGGGAUCCUGGACGUGGGAGGAGAUCCAGGCUGGAUGGGAUCGCCUCCCAUGGGAACAAGUGGAGGCAGCGAGAGGCAACGAGAGGCAAC